GAGAGAGAGAGAGAGAGGAUGAUCCUCUCUGUAUUUUUCCAUUCUUUUAUCUUUCUUUAGCUCCAUUUUUUUGAUAUGGUAUCAGAGCAAUCUAAUGUAUUCCGCUGUGUUCUAGAUUAGUUCCUCUGCUGAUUGUGAUUAUGGCUGCUGAAGAUUCUUCUAAUCCUUUGUUUCUGGCAAACAAUGACAAUCCUGGUACUGUAUGGGUUUCUCAAGUUCUUCAUGGAUAAAAUUAUUUUCCUUGGAAGAGAUCAAUGUCCAUGGCCAUCUCUGCCAAGAACAAGCUUGGCUUCAUAAAUGGAAAACUUCCAAAAUCGAUUGCAACUGAUCCUACUUAUCAAGCAUGGAUUCGUUGUAAUGACAUGGUUUGCUCUUAGAUCUUAAACUCCUUGAGCAAAGAUAUUGCUGCUAGUUUCUUUAUAUUGCUACUGCAUCUGAUCUGUGGAAAGAACUGGAAGAAAGGUUUAGUUAAGGAAAUGCUCCACGCAUUUUUCAAUAAAAGAAAUAUAUCAGUGGUCUUACUCAAGGUUCAUCAUCAGUGACUGAUUAUUUUACCAAGUUCAAAACCUUGUGGGAUGAAUAUUCAAUUAUCGUCCUUUACCUGAUGAUAACAGUCCUAGUGUUAAAACUCUACUGGAUUAUCAUCUUCAAGAUUACGUUAUGCACUUUCUUAUGGGACUGAACGAGAGUUUUUCUGCAAUAAGGGGUCAAAUUCUGCUUUCUAAUCCAUUGCCUUCUCUCAACAAAGUGUUCUCUUUUUUUUUGCAAGAGGAAACUCAAAAACAUGUUGGUCAUUACACUCUUCAUUUUGACUCUGCUGCUAUGACCAGCAAGACAGCACCUGGUCCUUCUCUGUCUCAACACUCAUCUGGUUCAUUCAAGCAGCCAUCUGGUCCUCGAAAAGGAAAAUUAUAUUGUACUGAAUGUGGUUAUACCUCUCACACGACUGACAAAUGUUUCAGAAUUAUUGGUUCUCCUCCAGGUUUUAGAUCAGGUAAGAGUAAGUGAAUUAAUUCUUCAAGCCAAGUUCAUUCAGUGGCAUCUUCUGGCGAGCAGAAACUUUCUUCAAUGCCACUCACUCAAGAACAAUACAAUCAGCUCCUCAAUUUACUUAAACCAGUCAAUGCUCCACCAGUUGACACUCAUUUGGUCAGUAAGUGUGAUAACCUCACCCCAUCGUUUCAGCCUUAGUGCAAUAUGAUAGGUAAACAUCAUUGCCUAUCAUUUUCUUCUACCC
rnacentral:lncRNA from 1 species